AUUAUGGCAAGCAACUUCAUCUUCUCUUGAAAGAUAACCUUGGAUUAUGUCAUGGCUCAAUUCUCUAUUGCCCCUACAGAGAUAAUGAAUUCACACAUGUAGGAGGAUCAUUUACCAAUGGGGGUGGGAUGCUGUUUUGAGCAUACCAUUUCCAUCUGCCACAGGAUGAUUCCAUUUGCACAAAUCGAUCUCCUGGAGGAAGAUUUGUUAGCUACGGCAAGCACACUGUAGGCACAGUGUAGCAGAGUGUGUCAUCUGACAAGAGAGAAAGAGGGGUCACCUACAAAAAGGUUUGUCCUCAGAAAGUCAUGGCUGCAGGAAUGGUUUUGCAGCUCUUCACUCCAAGGCUGAAGAAAGGAUCAAAGACAAGUCAAAGCAAUUAUUCAAAUAUCAAAAUUGUCAAGGGAGUCUGAAUUUGCAUCUCUCAAUGAACUCCAUAUCCUCAGUUCCACGGGAACAGUCUGUUUUGGGAAGGACACUUGUACAAUGCAGGCAAGAAACUCCACAGUGCAUCCUCAGCCAAGAAAAGAAGAGCUUCUCACUUGGGUUCUCUGGGUACUUGCUGAUAUAAGCAUUUAUAGGUGGAAGAUACCUUCGAAAGCACAACUUUGUGGCAAACUAGCUUACAGUAGAACUGUCCUAAACUGUCUCUGGAAGUGAAUACAAGCUGAGUUCAUAAAAGAAGAGGAAUUUGCUAUUUUUCUGAAAUGUUUGUGUUCAUUGUCUGAUGCUCUAGACCACAAGUUGUUUUCUAGUUCAUCUGUAUCUAUUCAGAAUAAAUUACAUAAAUUUCA